UCAAGUGAAUAAGUGCAUGUGGUGGAUGCCUUGGCGAUUACAGGCGAUGAAGGACGUUGUAGCCUGCGAUAAGCCGCGGGGAGCUGGCAAACAAGCUUUGAUCCGCGGAUGUCCGAAUGGGGAAACCCACCCGCAAGGGUAUCGCUGACUGAAUUCAUAGGUCAGCGAGGCGAACGUGGCGAACUGAAACAUCUAAGUAGCCACAGGAAAAGAAAUCAACCGAGAUUCCGAAAGUAGUGGCGAGCGAAAUCGGAGCAGCCUGUGCGUGAUAGUCGAUUGGCUAGUGGAACGGUAUGGAAAGGCCGGCCAUAGAGGGUGAUAGCCCCUUACACGAAAGCGAAUCGGUGGUACUGAGCGUACGACAAGUAGGGCGGGACACGUGUAAUCCUGUCUGAAGAUGGGGGGACCAUCCUCCAAGGCUAAAUACUCGUAAUCGACCGAUAGUGAACAAGUACUGUGAAGGAAAGGCGAAAAGAACCCCGGGAGGGGAGUGAAAUAGAUCCUGAAACCGCAUGCAUACAAACAGUCGGAGCCUCGCAAGGGGUGACGGCGUACCUUUUGUAUAAUGGGUCAGCGACUUACGUUCAGUGGCAAGCUUAACCAGAUAGGGGAGGCGCAGGGAAACCGAGUCCGAAUAGGGCGCCAUAGUCGCUGGGCGUAGACCCGAAACCAGGUGAUCUAUCCAUGGUCAGGAUGAAGGUUGGGUAACACCAGCUGGAGGUCCGAACCGACUAAUGUUGCAAAAUUAGCGGAUGAACUGUGGAUAGGGGUGAAAGGCUAAUCAAACCUGGAAAUAGCUGGUUCUCCCCGAAAACUAUUUAGGUAGUGCGUCAUGUAUUGCUCCAGGGGGUAGAGCACUGUAAUGGUUGUGGGGGCCAUCGCGGCUUACCACGCCAUAGCAAACUCCGAAUACCUGGAAGUAUGAGCAUGGCAGACAGUCGCCGGGUGCUAACGUCCGGCGGCAAGAGGGAAACAACCCAGACCUACAGCUAAGGUCCCAAAGUGUGGCUAAGUGGGAAACGAAGUGGGAAGGCUAAAACAGUCAGGAUGUUGGCUUAGAAGCAGCCAUCAUUUAAAGAAAGCGUAAUAGCUCACUGAUCGAGUCGUCCUGCGCGGAAGAUGUAACGGGGCUAAGCCAUGCACCGAAGCUUAGGCUGCACUCUCUGAGUGCGGGGUAGGGGAGCGUUCUGUAAGCCUGUGAAGGUGUCUCGUAAGGGAUGCUGGAGGUAUCAGAAGUGCGAAUGCUGACAUGAGUAGCGUUAAAGCGGGUGAAAAGCCCGCUCGCCGUAAGCGCAAGGUUUCCUACGCAACGUUCAUCGGCGUAGGGUGAGUCGGCCCCUAAGGUGAGGGCGAAAGCCAUAGCUGAUGGGAAGCUGGUUAAUAUUCCAGCACCGAUUUCUAGUGCGAUGGGGGGACGGAUCGUGGAAGGUUGUCCGGGUGUUGGAAGUCCCGGUUCCUGACCUGUAGGUGUCUGGUAGGUAAAUCCGCCAGGCGUAUGCCGAGGGGUUGGGACGAGCGAGCUUGCUCGCGAAGCAACUGGAAGUGGUUCCAAGAAAAGCCUCUAAGCUUCAGCUAGAAACGACCGUACCGCAAACCAACACUGGUGCGCGAGAUGAGUAUUCUCAGGCGCUUGAGAGAACUCGGGAGAAGGAACUCGGCAAAUUGACACCGUAACUUCGGAAGAAGGUGUGCCUUGGUAGCUUGAGUGUGAACAACACAAGGGCGAAGAGGUUGCAAAGAAUAGGUGGCUGCGACUGUUUAUUAAAAACACAGCACUCUGCAAACACGAAAGUGGACGUAUAGGGUGUGACGCCUGCCCGGUGCCGGAAGGUUAAGUGAUGGGGUGCAAGCUCUUGAUCGAAGCCCCGGUAAACGGCGGCCGUAACUAUAACGGUCCUAAGGUAGCGAAAUUCCUUGUCGGGUAAGUUCCGACCUGCACGAAUGGCGUAACGAUGGCCACACUGUCUCCUCCCGAGACUCAGCGAAGUUG
rnacentral:rRNA from 1 species